GACGAACGCUGGCGGCGUGCUUAACACAUGCAAGUCGAACGGAAAGGCCCUGCUUUUGUGGGGUGCUCGAGUGGCGAACGGGUGAGUAACACGUGAGUAACCUGCCCUUGACUUUGGGAUAACUUCAGGAAACUGGGGCUAAUACCGGAUAGGAGCUCCUGCUGCAUGGUGGGGGUUGGAAAGUUUCGGCGGUUGGGGAUGGACUCGCGGCUUAUCAGCUUGUUGGUGGGGUAGUGGCUUACCAAGGCUUUGACGGGUAGCCGGCCUGAGAGGGUGACCGGCCACAUUGGGACUGAGAUACGGCCCAGACUCCUACGGGAGGCAGCGGUGGGGAAUAUUGCACAAUGGGCGGAAGCCUGAUGCAGCAACGCCGCGUGCGGGAUGACGGCCUUCGGGUUGUAAACCGCGUUCGCCUGUGACGAAGCGUGAGUGACGGUAAUGGGUAAAGAAGCACCGGCUAACUACGUGC
rnacentral:rRNA from 1 species